rnacentral:rRNA from 1 species
GACAGAGGGUGCAAACGUUAUUCGGAAUCACUGGGCUUAAAGGGUGCGUAGGCGGCCAUGUAAGUGAGGUGUGAAAUCCCUCGGCUCAACCGAGGAACUGCGCUUCAUACUGCAUGGCUUGAGGGAGACAGGGGUCAGCGGAACUGAUGGUGGAGCGGUGAAAUGCGUUGAUAUCAUCAGGAACACCGGUGGCGAGAGCGGCUGACUGGGUCUCUUCUGACGCUGAGGUACGAAAGCUAGGGUAGCGAACGGG